AAUAGGAUGGAGAGCCAGAGAGCAAGGGAUAAAUUUCUCUUAAAGUAUUCAUUCAUUCAUUCAACAAGGGUUUAUUGAGGUCCUCCCUGGAGUCAAGCUCGGUGCUGGCGUUAGAGACAUAGUCAGAAACAAAAUUAACAUGGCCUGUGUUCUCAGGGGUUUCCAGGCUACUGAGGGAGGCCAAGAAGGCAACAAAAUACUCAAUUACAAAUCCGAGUAAGUGCUUCAAGGAUAAAACGUAGAUAAUACAAAGGAGACAGAGGGUGAGAGGCAAGCUUCCUAUAUUUCCGUGGUCAAGGAAGGAGGUCACAUUCAAAACAAGACCUGAGGGCUGUGGAAUCAGUCCUGGAAAAACUUUCCAGGCUGGGAGACUUCUUUGAAGAGACCCGUGUGUUUAAGAAAUUAAGAUAAAUCCUGUGUCUGGACUAUGGAGGGGGGGCGGGGCGGGGACUGGGUGGGGGAAGGAGAGAAACAGGAAGUAAGAUUGGAGAAGUGAGCAGGAGCGUAGGAAAGGUUUUGGAUUUUAUUCCAAGUGAGGUGAGAAGUCACAGAGGGGACAACGCAUAGGGACAACUCCUCCUCCCCGUCUCAGAAACUCGGUGCCGUCACUUCCAGGGUGAAGGGAGGACCGUGUCCUUGAAAAGGAAGAAGGGACGAGUAUUUGGUUUCCUCUGAAACCUCGGAGCUUUUGAAAGAGUGGUGCCUGCUCUGAAUUCUACUGUGUCUGGUGUGGGAGUUAGGAUCUCAGGAUUAGCACCAUUAAUAUAUUCAAAUGGCCUUCAAAGGAGAACUUGAAGAAUGUCUUCAAAGGAGAACUUGAAGUUCUGAUGGGAGUAAUUGUGAAACCUUCAGAUAUGACUCAUCUUCCAUUGAACUGGCCUCUGGAGGCUCAGCCAGAGUGACUCAAAGUAAACACAUAUUCACUGAGCUUCUACUCAAUGCCCAGCACCACGAAGGAUGCCGUGGUGGCUGCAAAUGUCCUCAAGGACUUUACAAAGUAGGAUAUUGGGGAUGGCAGAAAGAGUGCAUUCGAACAAUCAGCCACGAUGUGGAUACCCCUCCCCGCUGGCCUUUGUCUGACAUAUCACACUGCGUGCAAAGUGGCCAAGGGCUGAGGACACAGAAGAGUUUGUGAACCGUUAGCGAGGCUUGGCCAGGCAAACAGGCGAGCGAGAAUAUGGAGAUUCUCCUCCCCACGGGACUGUUCCAGGACCCCAGGAAUAGAGCGGCCGACGGGGAUGGCCUGUCCGUGCCCAUCCUCUGUUCCUAUCGUUGGCAUCACACUUGUGCAAACGCCGGGGACCCUGGCUGUCAUGGUCCUUUUCCAAGCGUUCAGUUUCUUUGUAGGGGUGGAGGCCUUUCCCCAACAUCAUACCAACCGCAGAAGAGGAAGAAGAACAAGGCCGCACAAAGCCCGUGUAGAGAAAACUUGGGUGCUUCUGAGGUUGUAGGCGGGCGCAUUAGAGUUCAGAGUCUGGGCCUGUCACCUUGAGAGAGACAUUCGAUCUUAUUCUGUUCAAAUGAGCAAGUUGGACCCAAUGAACUCCAGCCAGUGAUGUCUCACUCCAACUAGGUGAUCCCACUUAUCCCGGAAGCAAGAGGCCCCAGGCCCUCCUGGUGGAAUGCCAUUUGUCCAAUAAAAUAGAGCCCGUCAGAAAGAUCCCAGCCAUCCUGUGUGAGGCCCCUAAGGCUUUGGCCUUGCCUUUAGUUAAAAAAAAAAAAAGAAAACAAAAACAAAACAAGCCAAUGGUAUGUUCCAGAAUACCGCUGUCUCACAAAUACUUUCCCAGUAUCAGUGGGUAAUAGUGGAAUCUGGAGGCAGGACUGACAGACGGGAGAAGGCCCUGCCUUCCUCCCCUGUGAUUUAGGGCUUCAUUCCACAGGCAUGUGCUGGCGUUUGUUUCAUGCCGGGGCAUGGUCACAGACAACAGGCCUUAAAUUCUCAGGAGUUAGCAUAGCCGUGACACAAGACAGGUUGAUUGCCUCAAAUGCUCUCUUAAUCAGCACUCUCAAACUGCUUCCUUCUUCCUGGGGGGUCAGGUCUCGGGUCAAAGUGUUGACUUGUUGUGUUUCCAACCAUUCCCAUCGUGGCAUGUUGACGACGCCACCCAGAAGAAGGUGCUUUUUGGCUUACGUUGGGGAUCUCCCUUAAUCGCGUAGCAGACCUGCGGCUACCUGAAGCCUCUCUCCCUUAGGCUUCCCGCUCCAAUGCGGUGUCGGCCAAAGGGCUCAGAUCUUACUUCCAGGUUCCCACACCACCUACAAUGCCAACCCUUCUGGUGCUCACCAUAGAGAAAAUCAGACCAAAGAGAAAUAACGUGUUAACGACAGUUGAGAUCUUUCUGAUGGGCUCUAUUUUAUUGGACAGAAUGGCAUUCCACCAAGAGCAGCUAGGGUCCCAUACUUCUAAGACAAGUGGGGCCGUCUAAUUCUUCCCCUUCCCCGUCAGGAAGGAGAAAACUCAGAAACUGGUUGUCAACAAGGAAGUGAAGUCAUGGUCCAAGGUGCACAGGGUCCUGCACCUUAUCCGUAGAAGCUACAGAAGAUGAGCUCGCUCCAGUUUUAUUCAACUCCAAGGAAAAUGAAAAAGCCAUCCUCUAAGAAGGAAACCCACUGGAAAGCAGAAGAGGCUGUGCCCUCUGGGUCUCUCUGUAACCGAAUCUGGCAGUCUACCUCUGGUACUCAGCAUGACCUUGAGAUGAAUUCCAACCCAUCCUGCAGCAUGGCACCAUGGGAAAGGAAGGCAUUAGAGCCGGAGAGCUGGGUGUUAUGGUUCUACCACGGGGGCGGGUUAUUCCACCAGUCUGAGUUUUGGUUUCUGUAGAGUGUAGACAAUAAUACUACCCUUUUUGCUUUAAGUAUUGGGGAUAAUACACAGAGGGUGUUUACCCAAGUCCUUGUCAUUCACUGUUUCAACAACACCCAUUCCCUGCGCACCUUUUCACGCCAUGCACUCCUCUGGGCACUGGCAAUGCACAGAGGCUGCAGGUUUUUUUUUUAGAGUAUGUGCUUUCCAACUCUUUAUUUUAGUUUAGGACAUCCUCCAUAUCUGAUCUUUCAAUGUAUUCAUUUUCGUGGAUGCAAAGCUACACAUCGGGGCUAAGGCACAUCCGCUCUGGCCCCACCAUCAGGUGUUGUUAGCCAUCGCCUGUGGCUAUUUUGGCUUUGCCAUCAUUUAGGGCUAAAGGUGUGUUUCCUGGGUUUUGCCCUUCUUUGCAAAACAAAAAGAAUGAGCUAAAAAAGCUCGAGUAUGGAAUACCACUUUAAUAUUACAGGCAUUCAGCUUUAUUGAAAAGACACCUUUGUUGUCCAGAUACCAGGAUCCUAACUUAGAGACAUUUAUGAAAAUGUCCACAGUUGUCAAAGACCUCGUCUCUGUUAAGUUAUAAAAGCAGCGAACACCAGAGAAGAUAAAAACAUGUUUUUAAGAGAGUCAAAGUGAUACAGAAGGGUUGGAAGUGAUGCCAUCAAUGUCUAUAGUUCUGGGGGGAAAUUUAAGUUGUUAAAGCCAGCUACUAGUGUGGACAAUGAUCGAACACUUUUUAUGUGUCCUGUUCCAAGUGUAUGAAUGAGUUGAACUCUCGCAUCGAGGAGGUAUCAUUCCCUCCCCCCAUCUUAAAGAUGAGAAAACUAGGCACAGAGGGAUUACAUAGCUAGGUUACAGGUAGUAAAUGGUAGGGUUGGGAUUUGAACCCAGGAAUCUGCAUAUCCCUGUCCUAGAUUGUAGCUUGCACAUUGGUUCCCAUGCAGCCUCGCUAUAGACUUAGGAACAAAUGGAUUGAUUCACAACGUUUUGAAAUCCAAUCUGCUUGGUAGUAGAGAAACUCCUGGCUAGACACUACUUACGAACUCUGGUUGUUGGGAUGCCAAAAUUGGGAGUUGCUUGGCCAGAAUCACCCACGGGGUGCCUACUACUCUAUUCCUUAAUAUCUGCUGAUAGUCAGAGAAUCUUAGGAAGAAAACAGAAGAAUUAAAUCUCGGUGGGGAAUUUAUUUUCUCUACCUUAAAAUUUUAUUGGAACACUAGCUGAUGGUCAAGUUAAAUGAAAUGUCAACAAACUCAAAAGAGCAAAGACCCUUGAAGGUACCUGGUAGGGGCUAGAUGUUACUGAACUGGCUGGCAGUCUGGGGCCUGAAAGAUGUCGAAGGAAAAAUGAGACGCAUAUUCGGUUACCGCAAGUAAUCUCUUUCUCAUUGGUGGGACAGAGGGCAGGGUCGCGUGCUGCCUGCCUGAACCACCAGGUUCUUUGCUUUU